UACGGGGGGGGCAAGCGUUGUUCGGAAUUACUGGGCGUAAAGGGCUCGUAGGUGGCCAACUAAGUCAGACGUGAAAUCCCUCGGCUUAACCGGGGAACUGCGUCUGAUACUGGAUGGCUAGAGUUUGGGAGAGGGAUGCGGAAUUCCAGGUGUAGCGGUGAAAUGCGUAGAUAUCUGGAGGAACACCGGUGGCGAAGGCGGCAUCCUGGACCGGUAUUGACGCUGAGGCGCGAAAGCCAGGGGAGCAAAGCGGG
rnacentral:rRNA from 1 species